UAAACUAAAAGUUCUAGAAUUUUCAGACUCCUGUUAGUUUCUGCUACCACUUAAGUGUUAAUAGCUAAUAAUAGAGCAAGCUUGAUUACUACCUUGGUGUCCUAAAACGGAUGUUGGCCUGCCAGGUCUUAUAAAAAGAAAAUAAAAGUUCUGAUGAGGAAACCUGGGUUGUUUCUCAGCUCUAACUACAAAAAUAAACAUCCUUGAGAAAUUGCUGAACCUCCUUGUUCUUGCUUAAUGUAAAAUGAGAGGGCAAGAUUAAAUGAUCUCAAAGCUCCCUUUCAGUUCAGGGACUGUGAAAUAAUAUGGUAAAUAGGCUUACUUAGGACCUUCUCGGGCACUAGCACUUUAAGAGUUUUACGUGGAUUGUAUAAUCAUCAAAAUAAUCCUGCAUAAUAGACACCAUUGUUAGUUGCAUUUUAUGAAGAAAGUGAGGCUUAACCAUUGAAGUAUUUUACACAAUGUCAUGUGUUUAGGGAGCAGCCAAGGUGAAGUUUUCAACCAGGCCGACCAACUUCAGAGUCCACUGGCUUCAAAACAGUGCUUUACAUCCUCCUUCCAACAUUAUUCACAAGCCGAUCAAGACUGAGAGAGUCACAAGUGUGUGAAACCUGUAUUCUUUCUGACUUCAUUUUCCCUGGUAAGAUGGUUACUUGAACCUCAAAGAAUUCAAAUAUGCUACUUAGUAUACACACUAAUGUUUGCUCACCCUUUGAGCAUAAGCUCAAAUUUUAUUGUGGCUUAUCUUCUCCAAAAAAUGGGGUCGAAAUUUUUGUAGAAUAGACAAAUCAAGAAUGAUGACUUCUUAAGAUGCAGUAUUCAAGUUCAGAAAUCUAUACUCAGAUGACCUUAUGUAGGUCAUCUGCUUCUGAGGUUUAUCUCACCAGUGUGUACUUUCAGGUUUUCUUCUGAUUGCCAAGUGUUCUUUUUACCCCCAACAGGCAUCCUGACUCAAGCUGUAUACAUUUGCAAUAUCUGAUUUUUAACCACACACUCUUCAUCCUAUUGACCCAGAGUGAAAAUUGAUACUCUUAGCUGAAGGACUGUUCCCUUGAGUAUAUUUAAACCAGACCAAUCUCUGUGUUUAAUCUGGGUUCAUCAGGAACCAUUAGCCUUGAUUGGUUUGUUUUUCUCCCCCUCCAUCUCAGGACUUGAUUCUAUUGAGUUAACAACUAUUCUCCCCAGAGAACAGCUACCGCAAGCCUGUUUCAAGUAAUUCCAAUAUCUGGCUCUUAGAAAUUGAACUGAUCUUUUUUUUCUUUAGUUUUAUGUGAAGAACUGCAGUAAUGAAUUCUGAAUUUGUUCAAAUCAUUGAAGAUGUGUGAAGACAAAACAUUCACUCAAAUCUCUAUCAUGUUAGCAUGUUAUUUAUCAUUGCUCUGUUCUUCAUUGUUGAAUAAUGCAAUUGAGUUAAAAAGAAUAAACAUUAUUUACGGUCCCAGAAGGCUGCAUAUGGAACUGACCUGGACUUAAUCUACAAGAUAGAUAC
rnacentral:lncRNA from 10 species